GACGAACGCUGGCGGCAUGCCUAACACAUGCAGGUCGAACGAGACCUUCGGGUCUAGUGGCGCACGGGUGCGUAACGCGUGGGAACCUGCCCUUAGGUUCGGAAUAACUCCCCGAAAGGGGUGCUAAUACCGGAUAAUGUCUUCGGACCAAAGAUUUAUCGCCUUUGGAUGGGCCCGCGUUGGAUUAGCUAGUUGGUAGGGUAAAAGCCUACCAAGGCGACGAUCCAUAGCUGGUCUGAGAGGAUGAUCAGCCACACUGGGACUGAGACACGGCCCAGACUCCUACGGGAGGCAGCAGUGGGGAAUAUUGGACAAUGGGCGAAAGCCUGAUCCAGCAAUGCCGCGUGAGUGAUGAAGGCCUUAGGGUUGUAAAGCUCUUUUACCCGGGAUGAUAAUGACAGUACCGGGAGAAUAAGCUCCGGCUAACUCCGUG
rnacentral:rRNA from 1 species